rnacentral:misc_RNA from 1 species
GUAAUGAAUGGUUGAUUGGAGAGAUGGGUGCUAACAGUGUUGAAUUUGAAGAUGAAUUGGUUUUUGCUGAUGAUAAUUUAACAUGGGGUGACGUGGCUAGGGCAUCUAGAGUUGGGGAAAUGAGGGCAAACACUAGACAACAAGCAAGAUCUCAAUCAAAUGCAUCAAGUUCAAAACUAGUAAAUAUUCAAGAAGAGACUG